CCUACGGGAGGCAGCAGUGAGGAAUAUUGGUCAAUGGACGAGAGUCUGAACCAGCCAAGUAGCGUGAAGGAUGACUGCCCUAUGGGUUGUAAACUUCUUUUAUAUGGGAAUAAAAUGUUCCACGUGUGGGAUUUUGUAUGUACCAUAUGAAUAAGGAUCGGCUAACUCCGUGCCAGCAGCCGCGGUAAUACGGAGGAUCCGAGCGUUAUCCGGAUUUAUUGGGUUUAAAGGGAGCGUAGGUGGAUUAUUAAGUCAGUUGUGAAAGUUUGCGGCUCAACCGUAAAAUUGCAGUUGAAACUGGCAGUCUUGAGUACAGUAGAGGUGGGCGGAAUUCGUGGUGUAGCGGUGAAAUGCUUAGAUAUCACGAAGAACUCCGAUUGCGAAGGCAGUUCACUGGACUGCAACUGACACUGAGGCUCGAAAGUGUGGGUAUCAAACAGGAUUAGAUACCCCAGUAGUC
rnacentral:rRNA from 1 species